UCUCCUGGAUUUUGUAGGACGUGAAUGAGAAUGGAACUGUUUAAAGCCAUGCUAUAAGGAUGAUGCUUCCUAGGCUAGUUGAAGUGGUUUCCCCUUCUCUCUUUAUAGUGUUAAAAAAAGCAGAGUGGACCAAUGACUUCAGCCUGAACUAGAAACGGGCUUGACGACGGGCUGUUAUAUUGUGUAACAGAUUCUCAGCUGACCACAUUGUAAGCCUUAAAGUAGAGAUUUCCUGUGCAUACCCUUUUUAUGAGAGCUGCUUGUCCCCCAUAGUCACUCCUCCCAAUGAAUGCUUUGGCCUGAUUGUUCACCAUAAGAAGAAGCCAUCAUUUUGUAUUUUCCUUCAGCUCUUCUAAAUGGGAUUUUGAGCAAAGUUUUCAUCUAAUGGGUGAAUGUUAUCAUGCCUGCAUAGUGAACCCAAUGAAAAUGGUUGAGGAGAAAGGAUGUGAACUGCAUUGCAAUGUUGUCCAUUAUGCCGAAAAGAUUCAUAAUUGAAAACUACAGCAAGGAGAGAUUUAUGCAAACCUGUUUUCAUCUUCAGUGAUGCAAGCAUUCUCCUUGCAGAGUCAAUGUGAUGUUAAUGUAGGUAAGAUAAGUCCAUGAGCCAUAUCAUUGUUUGCGCUGUUACUGUUGACUGGAAGCUGUGCUGUUGCAUUAUCUGCAUCUUUUCAUGUAUUGGUAUACUGUAUAAAAUAAGGUGGUGGUGGGGACCCACCAGCUAACCUGAUGGGGUUGUAUAAAGCUGGCUUUUAAUGAAACAGCACGCUGGAAAUUCUAGUCUCCUGUCGCGGUUUAUGCUUCUCUUUUCUCCAGGGCGCAUUGGCUCAGGCUGCACUAUAUUCAGGCUAAAUGGAUUGCAGUUUUAAAUGCACUACCCAGUGCUGCUGACUAAUACCAUUCCAGCCUGAUUCCCCCAGCUUCCUCCAGCCCCCUCCCACCACCCUGCAUCUUCCGUCAACAGCACAUGGACAAGGCAUCAGGCAGUAAUAUUGGCGAACGUUUUGCAUUGGCUUGAUGAAGAAGAAUAUUCAAGGAGGGAGAACUGAGCAAGGCCCCUGAAACUCGCCCACUCACUGAUGUUGCAGAGGACUGUUUUCCUACAAGAUAAGAAGUGUAAGAAAAGGCAGUAAAUUGGAAGGCUUUCAGGGAAUGGUGUUUGUGGCUCGCUGGCUUCCUCUCCUCCCCCUCUUCCCCCCUUUUCACCAUAAUAUUAGCGUUGUAUAGAUUUAAUAAUUAGGUGAUUGGAGACAUUUUGAUGAUGGAGCAGUUUCUAUGAUCUGCAAAAGACAGCAUCUGUUUUUCUCAUGUACCAAUUAAUUAUUGAUGCAACUGAAAAUGCAGUAGACUUUUCUUUUUCUCCCCUGCGGAAGAAGAAAGAUUGGGUGUUUUAGCAAGAUGGAGAGGAAAUUAUAUCAUCCUGACCUUGAAAGUUGCUGAAUUUUUUUAAUAAUAUAGAAAUCAAAGAAACGAGUAAAUACACAGUUUGCUUCUUACCAUUGCUGCCUAAGCCAAGGAGGGCCUUGCAGUGAAAUAAUCACCUUUAUCUUUGUUUUCUAUGUCCAGCUGUUAGCUUUUUCAUUUUAAAAAAUGGUAUUGUCCUACUCACUGUUCCAUGAACUAGCUUUCUUCCCAGUGUCCCUUCAAGUGAGCAGCCCUCUUCUUCAGGAAAACCAUUCAAAAUAUAUGGGUUUCUUUUUCUUUUUGGGAUGCAGUUCUUGAGCCCAGGGAAACUGGCCCAAUGUGGGGGCUUUCUAAAGUUAUCUGAAAAGGAAUGUUUGCUGGAAAUCAUACAAUGUGAUGCUUUGCUUUCGUGUCAAUCGUUUCAUGUGUCUUGACAUCCGCCAAAGAUCUUAAACUCCUUUAAAAAAAAAAAAAAAAACCUCUGAUUAGAGCUCAUGUAUACAUGUUAUGCAUUUAUAUAAGGGUCACAGCUUGUAAUCACCUACUUUGCCAUUGGCGAUUAAUCUAAAAAAGAUCGAAUAAUUCACUGCCCCAUGCCAUUCAC